rnacentral:rRNA from 1 species
AGCGAACGCUGGCGGCAGGCCUAACACAUGCAAGUCGAACGGGCUCUUCGGAGCUAGUGGCGGACGGGUGAGUAACACGUGGGAACGUGCCUUUAGGUUCGGAAUAAGCCCGGGAAACUGGGUCUAAUACCGGAUGCGCCCUUCGGGGGAAAGAUUUAUCGCCUUUAGAGCGGCCCGCGUCUGAUUAGCUGGUUGUUGGGGUAUUGGACCACCAAGGCGACGAUCAGUAGCUGGUCUGAGAGGAUGAUCAGCCACAUUGGGACUGAGACACGGCCCAAACUCCUACGGGAGGGAGCAGUGGGGAAUCUUGCGCAAGGGGCGAAAGCCUGACGCAGCCAUGCCGCGUGAAUGAUGAAGGUCUUAGGAUUGUAAAAUUCUUUCACCGGGGACGAUAAUGACGGUACCCGGAGAAGAAGCCCCGGCUAACUUCGUGCCAGCCGCCGCGGUAACAC